rnacentral:rRNA from 1 species
AUACUGUGAAACUGCGAAUGGCUCAUUAAAUCAGUUAUCGUUUAUUUGAUAGUACCUUACUACAUGGAUACCUGUGGUAAUUCUAGAGCUAAUACAUGCUAAAAACCCCGACUUCAGGAAGGGGUGUAUUUAUUAGAUAAAAAACCAACGCCCUUCGGGGCUCCUUGGUGAAUCAUAAUAACUUAACGAAUCGCAUGGCCUUGCGCCGGCGAUGGUUCAUUCAAAUUUCUGCCCUAUCAACUUUCGAUGGUAGGAUAGUGGCCUACCAUGGUGGCAACGGGUAACGGGGAAUUAGGGUUCGAUUCCGGAGAGGGAGCCUGAGAAACGGCUACCACAUCCAAGGAAGGCAGCAGGCGCGCAAAUUACCCAAUCCCGAUACGGGGAGGUAGUGACAAUAAAUACUGAUACGGGGCUCUUUUGGGUCUCGUAAUUGGAAUGAGAACAAUUUAAAUCCCUUAACGAGGAACAAUUGGAGGGCAAGUCUGGUGCCAGCAGCCGCGGUAAUUCCAGCUCCAAUAGCGUAUAUUAAAGUUGUUGCAGUUAAAAAGCUCGUAGUUGAACCUUGGGUCUGGCUGGCCGGUCCGCCUCACCGCGAGUACUGGUCCGGCUGGACCUUUCCUUCUGGGGAACCCCAUGGCCUUCACUGGCUGUGGGGGGAACCAGGACUUUUACUGUGAAAAAAUUAGAGUGUUCAAAGCAGGCCUUUGCUCGAAUACAUUAGCAUGGAAUAAUAGAAUAGGACGUGUGGUUCUAUUUUGUUGGUUUCUAGGACCGCCGUAAUGAUUAAUAGGGAUAGUCGGGGGCGUCAGUAUUCAGCUGUCAGAGGUGAAAUUCUUGGAUUUGCUGAAGACUAACUACUGCGAAAGCAUUCGCCAAGGAUGUUUUCAUUAAUCAGGGAACGAAAGUUAGGGGAUCGAAGACGAUCAGAUACCGUCGUAGUCUUAACCAUAAACUAUGCCGACUAGGGAUCGGACGGGCUUCUAUGAUGACCCGUUCGGCACCUUACGAGAAAUCAAAGUUUUGGGUUCUGGGGG